AUAUUAAUUAAAUAACGAAUAUACAUUAAAAAUUUAAUAAAUAAAUAAGCGGAAAGGCUCGGAAUGAGGCUGGUUACAAUGCACACGUGCAUGUUGCAAAUACAUCGCACUUAAUCGGAUUAAGGUAGACGAGAGAGGAUAUCAGGUAACCAGCAAUUGGAACAAGUAUGAAAAGAAAGUAAUUUAGAUUGGCAACAGUAUGUCGAGAAGUAAAAUGAUUGAUGGGUUCGCAAAUGAACCUAAAUCAACAGUAUCCAGUAUGUGGAGAGGAACCAGGUGACUCACUCUUCUUCUCCAUUGCUCUGCCAUAUAAACUUUAAUGCUGCAGAAUUCUUGUGUAGGUACGUUUUGCAGGUAGACGGGUUCGGUUGCUCUUGAAGUGCAGUCCAACUAUUUUCGCCCCUGUCGCAAAAAGAGAUGAGAAAUAUCAUUAUAUUGUGUGGGAAAAUUGAGACAGCCAAGAAAAACAUUCAAUAUGACCUGGGCAAACGUGACAUACCAGCAAAAAAGAUAUUUUUUGACUAUUUUUUCUUGCGCACUUAUUAACGUUUCGUCUGCAAUAUUUGUUAUUAUACGUCAGGAGGAAGACUUUUCAAAUCUGUAAUUGCGAUUCUCACACUCUCACUUAAACGUGUCUUUUUCCAGCCGCGAACACUCGCUACCAAAUUUGUGGCUUGCGCUCUCAAUUCCUCCUCGGACCAUUUUGGCAUUUGCUUGACAAUGCCUUUCCAAUCAAUGGCAUUUAUGGAGAUUGCUUCUCCGCAUUGCCUUUGUACAUGUUCUAGUAGUUUUAAACUAUCCGCGACGUAAAAUUUGCGUUUACCCUUUGAUUUCUUCUUUUUUCUCUUCUUCCUUUUCUUCCCUUGAUCCUCCUCUUGACGUUGGUUAGAAGAAUAAGAUGCGAUUGUUUUUUCGUACUGUUUUCGACAGCUUUCCGGCGACUUAGUCCCAAGCUUCUUCGAUAUGCUAUGCCAUGCAAUGGAAUCAGAUGCCGGUAUUUCCCGUUGUAUGUUUGAAGUAGUGUGAUUAUUGUGUGUGAAAAGGCUUGUCAUUUUUUUUGUGUGAAAAGACGACCGGUAAGAAGACUUUACCAAGUCUAAUAGCUUUGCUUCCUCUUCAUUCGUCCAUAAUUUGCGCCGAUCAAUUGUUUCCUGAGUACUAGUACCUACAACAAACCUCCAUUGACUCAUGCACGCGGCAGGUGACGUUCCCAGUUUGUUCGCUAUGCUGUUCCACCGCGUUCCCUCUUGUUCAACUAGGGUGUACAGCUUUUUUAGCUCACUUUCCUCCCAUGCAUUCCUAUCUUUCGGAUCCAACGGCUUGUAGAUUUCCUUCAAAUAACGAAUAAUUCCUUUUCUUGAAAUAGAAGUAGGCAGCAAUUCGCGUAGUUCGUUGUAUAGAAAGUUGAUAUUUGUAUGUCUUAAGCUUGAAGAACUCAUCCGGAAGCCAAACUCUUGUAAAUCUACGCCUUCAUUAUUACAAUAAGACAAAACUACUUUUUGAAUCACUUGUGCGUCUUCUAGAGAAAAAUUAAGUUGCGAAUCCUCUUCAGCAGCCAAGCUUCCAAUGUCUAUCUUUUCGUAACCGGCGACUUGAAAAAAAGCACGCAUGUACUUUAGUAAACUAUUUUCUUUUCGAUUCAGAAAAGAUGCUACUGACUCUAAAAACCCUUGAAGUCGACUCCCAGCAUGUUCGUCUUCCAAUAUCUCGAUCAUUUGCUCCCGUGAUAUAGACCGAAUCGUUAACAAUUCAUCAAUCCUUGCUUGAAACCACUUUUCAUGCUCCUCUGUCCAUGCAUCCUUUCUUUUCUUUGCAUUGAAAGAGUUUGUGCUUUCAACUUUGCUUUCAGAAUCGUCAGAAGAGGAUCGCGCAAUUUUACGCUUUGAUGCAUGAUCACUACAUGUUUUGACAACGACAGAGGAAAGUGGACUAUUUUCCAAUAACUGUCGUGUAGCUUCCAUACAAUCUUUAUGGUCAUCUGACACAGGCUCACUAGUUCCUCCUAAGGAGUGAGCACGUGAAGGCUUAUGUAUAAGUGACCCCAUUUCAAACUCAAACUCAUUAUCUUCAUCAAAUUCGUAAACAUCUUUUCUUUUCAUAGAUUUCAUUAAACUUCCAGGCCGAGAUUUAUUAUUAGUGAUAUUGAAGGUAUUGUGAUCUGUAAACAUAACGUCUCUUUCUUGCAUUGCACCCUUACUGCUACAUGAAAGUGUAGGACUUUCCAAAUUUGAGCGUGUUCCCUGGUUUUCAUUUAUUGUCAUGUCGAUAGCUAACAUCAUUAAUUUACAAUGCCUUCUAAUAACGGGUUAGCCAAUUCAUGAUGAAGUAAGGACGCCAAGGGAAAUUUAUGAAUGUUUAACUAUUUUUGUUUGAGAGUUUCAACGGAUUUAUCUAUUUUUUUUCAUGCUUUUUAAACUUUCAUAAGAUUAUUAUUACGAGAACAUAAAAUUAAACAACCAUCAUACGGUUUCUGUUCAACCUCUUCAAGAACCCAUUCAAAUAUCCUUGCAUAACCAAUUGUUUCUGCUUACCUUGUAAAUUAAUUAUUUCGAUUUAGAUAGUCUUAAAAUAUUGCAUUUCUUUGCC